rnacentral:rRNA from 1 species
GACAGAGGUGGCAAGCGUUGUUCGGAUUCAUUGGGCGUAAAGAGCUCGUAGGUGGCUCUGUAAGUCGGAGGUGAAAGACCACGGCUCAACCGUGGAAACGCCUUCGAAACUGUGGAGCUUGAGGCUGGGAGAGGAAAUCGGAAUUCCUGGUGUAGCGGUGAAAUGCGUAGAUAUCAGGAGGAACACCGGUGGCGAAGGCGGAUUUCUGGACCAGUUCUGACACUGAGGAGCGAAAGCCAGGGGAGCAAACAGG